rnacentral:rRNA from 1 species
GACGAACGCUGGCGGCGUGCUUAACACAUGCCAGUCGAACGGAAAGGCCCUGCUUUUGUGGGGUGCUCGAGUGGCGAACGGGUGAGUAACACGUGAGUAACCUGCCCUUGACUUUGGGAUAACUUCAGGAAACUGGGGCUAAUACCGGAUAGGAGCUCCUGCUGCAUGGUGGGGGUUGGAAAGUUUCGGCGGUUGGGGAUGGACUCGCGGCUUAUCAGCUUGUUGGUGGGGUAGUGGCUUACCAAGGCUUUGACGGGUAGCCGGCCUGGGAGGGUGACCGGCCACAAUGGGACUGAGAUACGGCCCAGACGCCUACGGGAGGCAGCAGUGGGGAAUAUUGCACAAUGGGCGGAAGCCUGAUGCAGCAACGCCGCGUGCGGGAUGACGGCCUUCGGGUUGUAAACCGCUUUCGCCUGUGACGAAGCGUGAGUGACGGUAAUGGGUAAAGAAGCACCGGCUAACUACGUG